rnacentral:rRNA from 1 species
UACGUAGGGUGCGAGCGUUAAUCGGAAUUACUGGGCGUAAAGUGUGCGCAGGCGGCUUCGCAAGUCGAGUGUGAAAUCCCCGAGCUUAACUUGGGAAUUGCGCUCGAAACUACGGAGCUGGAGUGUGGCAGAGGAAGGUGGAAUUCCACGUGUAGCGGUGAAAUGCUUAGAUAUCGUCAAGAACACCUAUAGCGAAGGCAGCUUACUAGGCUGUAACUGACGCUGAGGCACGAAAGUGUGGGGAUCAAACAGG